rnacentral:ncRNA from 1 species
AUAAUUUUAGACAAUCAUCAGAAAAGUAAUAAUUUUUUCUACUUUCAGGGAGCCUGUGGUUGGUGGAAACAGGCAGCGGAAGAUUAUGAAGUGGGCUGAUGGAAAAAAUGAAUUUGAAACAAUAAAAAUUCGGUGAGCACACCUUACAGUGCGACUUGUUGUUAGACAAGGCAGAGAUAUGGAGGUAGUCUAUACUUUUCUCCAUAAUUGAGGUGGCACCGCGAUUUUACGCCCUCACA